ACUUCCUCUCCCUGGCCUUGAGCCUCAUUUAGGAUCCGCAGAUAAAACACAGAGACCUACUAACACUAAAAAAUUAUUUGCUAUUUCUCUGAAAUUCAGAUUUAACCUGCAUCCUCUUUCUCCUUUUUCUUUCUUCUUCUUUUUUUGCUAAACUGGGCAACAGGGCAGGCCACUGCCGCCGUCAUCAGAAAGACUACUUUCAGUCCAGGCAAACAGAGGAGAGCAAAGCCUGAGAUGGUAACCUGCUCCCCCAGGCCAGAGGAAGCUCAGACCUUCUCACCAGUACCAGGGUGGAGAAGAUUCUAGUCCAGAUUCAGAAGAGGAGCUGGUACCGGCCUGUGGCAAUCCCCAGCUGCGGAGGCAGAGCUCCAAGACAAAGCAAGAGGAAUGAGAGGAAACACAAGCCGGGUCAAAGCUCCAGGCCGCUAGCACAGAGGCAGGUGGUGGCACCGAGAUCCCUUCUCCAUAGCACCCGUGAGAGCACAGGGCAGGACAGAGGACAGACCCCUGGCCCAAGGGGCCAACCACCAGCCUCUCAGCCAGCUCCGCCACUGACUUGCUGCUUGGAAAGUCACUUAACUGCUCCAAGCCUCAGUUUCCACUUCUGGAAAUGGGGCUAUGACACCCUGCCUGCCUCUUCAUGCUGGUAUAAGAAUCAACGGCCUGUGACAGGACUUUGUAAACUGUAGGUUGGUAUUGGUUAGGGCUCUUUAGUCACAAACGUGAGAAACCAGACAUUAAACAAGGCAAGGCGCCAGGGGGAUUCACCGGCUCAGAGGCCCAAGACCCAGGACGGGGAGGGGAGGCGCUCUCACCCCGUCUCGUGCCUGCAUCUCUCUGUGAGUCAGUCUUCUUCCACAAGCCUGGGGCCAGCUUCACCUCCUAAAGGAGUUUCUCUGCUCUGUGACUUCUAAC
rnacentral:lncRNA from 1 species